rnacentral:rRNA from 1 species
AUUGAACGCUAGCGGGAUGCUUUACACAUGCAAGUCGAACGAGUCGCGGACGGGUGAGUAAUAUAUCUGAACGUGCCCAGUAGCGGGGGAUACCUACUCUACAGAGUGGCUAAUACCGCCCACUAUUGCAGCGGUCGUUAUCGGAUUAGCGAGGUUGUGGGGUAAAGGCUCGCCAAGGCAACGAUCCGUAGCUGGUUUGAGAGGACGACCAGCCACCAUGGAACGGAGACAAGGCCCAGACUCCUACGGGAGGCAGCAGUGGGGAAUUGUGGACAAUGGGGGAAGCCCUGGUCCUGCCAUCCCGCGUGUAUGAGGAGGCCUUCGGGUGGGAAAGGACUUUUGGCAGAGAAGCGGUAUCUGCAGAAUAAGCACCGGCUAACUACGUGCCAGCAGCCGCGGUAAUUC